ACCAAGGAUGUGUAAAGGUGCCUCUGACUGACCAAACGUGCUCUAAAGACACGUUAUUUUUACUGCAAUAAAGCCUGUAAAGGGUAAACAAGGUCAGGAUGUCACUAUGUCAAGCACUACACAGGUAGGCUGAGACCUACUGAGCUUGUUACGUAGACAGAUAAAAAAGACAAGAGCGGGGAGAGGAAAUAUUACCAUGGGAAAGCAAGACACAGAGAAACUGAAGUUCUUGAACUAAAGCUUCAAGAUUUGAGUAAUCUAGAUCUCCAGUGCCAUCCCAGUAACUGAAGCGAUUUCUUUAAUUAGUAAAUUUUCAUAAUCCCUUAUGUUAUUGCAGCUUAACACGUUCUCCCACUGCGGCACAUGGAGGCUUUGGCUGUUGAGCCAUGAAGAUGAGCAAGGAAGUCUGGUUUGAGAAAAUCACCCAUGACUCUUCCAUUCUUCCUGACUGCUUAAUGCUGGUCCUGUGAGAGGAAUCACAGAGGCACCAACUGGACCCUAAAAGCAGUAAAUUAGAAAGCACUACUUCUUUCAGCUAUAAGUUCAAGGAGAACAGACACCUUACAUACAAGUGCCCAUAACAGCUUUUGUCCUUCCACGAGGGGCAGAAAUCUUUGGCACCUUCAUUGCAUAUUUUUCGUAGUGAGCCCUCCUGAAUUACUGUGAACAAAACAAGGUGGUUUCAUCUCCACACACUGAGUCAAAAUCAAGCUGAACUGGAUUAAAGGAGUGUCGGAAAAGCGUGGAUUAUCCCAGUGGUGCCAUUUUAUCACAGGUUUACAUUUGUGUCUCUUUUCUCAUACCAAGACCUCUGAAUUUCCCAUUCCCAACAUUUUUGCAGAGACAUUAGCCUUCAUCCUCUGAUCAACCCAGGCACAAAGCUGAAUUGCAGUACAGAUGUAACCAAGGGUAGAUGGAACAGGCUUUUAACUCCUGCUAAAGAGAGAUGCAGGUCUACAUCACGUAGGAGGAGAUAGUGACCUUUCCUGGGUACGACACACUCUUGUUUUCUCUUCUGGAGCCACUUUAUAUGCCCAAGUGCAAGAUGAGGUCUUG
rnacentral:lncRNA from 1 species